GCAGUCGAGCGAAAGAUAAGGAGCUUGCUCCUUUGACGUUAGCGGCGGACGGGUGAGUAACACGUGGGUAACCUACCUAUAAGACUGGAAUAACUCCGGGAAACCGGGGCUAAUGCCGGAUAACAUUUAGAACCGCAUGGUUCUAAAGUGAAAGAUGGUUUUGCUAUCACUUAUAGAUGGACCCGCGCCGUAUUAGCUAGUUGGUAAGGUAAUGGCUUACCAAGGCAACGAUACGUAGCCGACCUGAGAGGGUGAUCGGCCACACUGGAACUGAGACACGGUCCAGACUCCUACGGGAGGCAGCAGUAGGGAAUCUUCCGCAAUGGGCGAAAGCCUGACGGAGCAACGCCGCGUGAGUGAUGAAGGGUUUCGGCUCGUAAAACUCUGUUAUUAGGGAAGAACAAACGUGUAAGUAACUGUGCACGUCUUGACGGUACCUAAUCAGAAAGCCACGGCUAACUACGUGCCAGCAGCCGCGGUAAUACGUAGGUGGCAAGCGUUAUCCGGAAUUAUUGGGCGUAAAGCGCGCGUAGGCGGUUUCUUAAGUCUGAUGUGAAAGCCCACGGCUCAACCGUGGAGGGUCAUUGGAAA
rnacentral:rRNA from 1 species